CCAAAGGUUUUGAAGAUACAUGAGUGUUGUGAUUGCUUCACCUCUGCACUGGCUCAUCUUUCAUUUUCAUUGACUGUUGGGUGCAUGUCCAUUGAAGAUAUCAGAAGUGGUGAUGUCUGAGAACCCCCGGAAGUUCCCAUUCCAGGGUUGUGAUGCCACCAGGAGGGACCAGCCAGGCACACACGGGCACGCAGCGAUGUCUCUGUGGCGGGUGUCACGUCCCCAUGGAAACCUCACUAGAUGUGCUUUCUCUCAAGAGGUGAACAUCACUGGGAACUUCUCCUUAAAGGAAGAGACUCUAAUCAGAGUGAAACCGAGCCAGAAGGAGAGGAGCCACUUGGACAAGAUAACAAAGUUGGGUAAAAGAGGGAAAGGCGAAGGGUGUCUUUUUCAAGUUCCACUUAAAAACUUGGGCUGUUCUCUGUUAUACUCUAAGUUCCAUGAGGAUUCUUGGCAUUUGGGUCAAAAACACAUUUUCUUGUUCUAGAUAAUGUUAAAUAUUUGAAAAAAAGAAAACCAACAGUGGUGGGUCUUUAGUUGACUGAAGUAAGCAGCACCCGUGGGAUUGACCACAAGGGACCUCAGAAGGCAAGCCCGAGAGGGCUCCUGCAGAAGGAACUGAAGGAGCCGGAGGGGGACGCGGACAUGGGCAGCGCUGGACAGGUCAGGUGCCACUGAGACCCAGAGCUCCAGAGAUGAAGGGGCCGGUGGUCCCUCGGGAGCUCCUUAGCCCACCUCUUAGUCAAUUGUGGGCACAUGAUGUACAUUUGGUUGCACCAUAUUGGCCAUGGUUGGACCCUUGCAGUCCUCCCUCAGGCCACUCGGGCCCUUUUGUUAUUUCCCAAGGUGUGCACAGCUUUUCCUGCCUCGAGGCCUGCCCAGAUGCUAAGGCCAGCAGCAGCUGCCCUGGCUUGUGCGCGGCCAGCCUGCCCCAUGGUAGAGGACACCGUGGGUUCUGCAGAUGUGGGGGGACACCUGGAAUCCUGUGCCACUCAAGUGUCACACGGGAACAAGCUGUCAACAGAGCACAGAGCGGGGGAUGGCGUGGGCCAUCAGGGAGGGAAUCUCGGGAGCAGCCAGAGGAGGACUAGGAGGCUUUGAGGGAGACAGAGAAGUAGUCAUGGAAACAUAAGUCUCAGCUUCGGGCAGCAUAUUAGGAGGCAGGAAAGAAAGGAGCUUUAAGAAAGCAGAUCCAGCCCGUCCUGGAGGGUCCCCGUGAAGCCCAGGGCCCGCAGCCUGGAGGGUCCCCGCUAAGCACAGGUCCCCCCACUUACUCGUUGAUUCUUUGCUCUGUUUUUGAAAUCAUUCUGCAAAUCUGCACACGUGGCCAUGAGGUACACCAGGGGCUCGGACCACAGACGUGACCACUGUCCCUGCUCUACCAUAGAGCCCACAUUCUGGGGGGAGAAGGGGGGGUGAGACAACAGACAAAGGAAAGGUAGACAUGUGAGAUAAUACCGUGCAGAGUGAAGUCUGUGAAGAGGAGCCAGGAGAGGGCGGUGGAAGAUGGGUGGGUAUUUAAACAGAGGCCGGCGAGAAAAGAGGCAGGAGACGCUGGCGUUGCCCCGAGUGAUGAUGAGGAUGGUCAGGGUGAAGGCUUGAAGAGCAGUGUCCAGGUGCCCAGAGGGGAAGGAUGAUAAGCAGUGGCAGUAGAGACGUCAGAGUGUCAGGAAACCAUCAGCAAAGCGCCGGCUAGGCUGGACCAGUAAGGGGGUCGGUGACUCUAAAGAGAGCCAUUUCAGAAGACUCAGGAGUAAAUGGUGCCAGAGGGGUGUCUGGGAAGAGCGGGGCCACGGAGGGAAGGACACACAAGAAGUCGUCACACAUAGAGUGACACAAAAUUAGGGGCUGUUUUGUGUUCCUUAUAGGCCAGAGGGUCUUGAUCUUGGAACUGCCGACCCUCGGGCUGCACAUUCUCCCUGUGGGCUGCAUCGAAUGCAGGACAUCAGCAGCUGCCCGGGAGCCAGGGUUAUCCUGGCCCAGCUUGAAGACCACCCAGCUCCCACCUGGCUACCUGGCUCUGGAGGCUCGGUCCCCUGUUAAGAAGGGUGCUCUGGGACGAUGGGCCGAGGGGCCACCAGGAGGGACAGAGAGGAGCUCCUGAGAGGAAAGGGCCUCGUGGGGAGGGGCCAUGGUGGCAAGUUCAGCCUGUCUCCCUGCAGGAUGAACCUGCUGAAAUCAAAGCUGGCUGCUAGAGUCUGGAUCCAGAAUGUUCCCAUGUCAUCAAAGGCUUGGUCCCCAGCUGGUGGCACUAUUGAGAGGCAUUAUGUCACAGCAAUGGAAAGCUGACACACUGGCCCUAAGUCAGGCAGUACCUGAUGUAAACACAUAGGUAGGUUUCUGUUUAGAUAGAAUAGGAGGUGUGAGCUUUGGGGAGUGAACUUUUUUCCUGGGUUGAGUAUAUAUAAAGUUUAGACAAUGGGGACUGUUCUAGAAUAUCAGGAUUUCAGAGUUGAGAGAGAAUGACGUGAUUAUCUUCACAAACACUUUUUAACAACUUUAUUUAUUUAUUUAUUUGUUUUUAUGUGGUGCUAAGGAUCGAACCCGGGGCCUUUCUCCUGCUGGGCGAGUGCUCUACUGCUAAGCCACAGCCCCAGUCCCAUCACAAAUAUUUGAUGAGUCUCAAAUUGCCAUUUCAAGUAUAGUUCAUUAAAAGUAAACAAAAGUUGGGUCUCUUUUAAGGGGGAGACAGAUGGAACAUACUUCUUGGCAAUUUUUUUUUUCCCCAAAUUAAAAUCAAAAGUUAGUUGGCACCUGAAAAGGCAGCUAAUGGCAGCUUACAUCCACUGUGAACCGACAGGGAUGGAGAGCUGUGGUAGUCAUCUUAUUGCCAAAGGGAUGGAGAGCCGUGGUACACGACUAUCUUGUACCAGGGAUGCUUUGACAGUCUCCCGACAGCUCAGGGAGCCAAGCACUCUUCCUACACGAAGCCAAGGAAAAGUAGUCACAAAGUCACACUGCAAACCCCAACAGCGUGGAAAGAACUACUUAUUCAGAGUUUGUCUUUGGACACCCCUCCCUGGGACUUUUCCAGUCUCCGCUGAGAUUUCACAUCGUUUUGAAACUAAAAUGGGCCUGUGCGUGGAUGUCCACAUUGGACUGAUACCAGGAGCCACGUUUCACACAGCCGGUCCCUCCUGUCCUGCAAAGUUUACAGGCCUGACAUGGCCACGCAUUUCACAUCUAGUAGUGUCCCCCACCUCUCCUGGCACAUCUCCGCAGCCGCACAACCUGGAAAUGAUCCGCCGAAGGUCAAACUAGAUGUCACUAAGAAGUCAUUUUCUUUGAGAUUUUAAAUAAGGACCUGAGUUUGGCCAUUGGCCUCCAUAGGAGGAGACAGUCAUGAUCUUUUAAUUUAGUGAAGUUUUUCUUAACAGGCCUAAUUGUGUUGUAAAUUUGUUAGGAUUUAUUGCAUCCAAAAGUGGGUGGGGGGCACUCUGGACCAUCAUUAAUUUCUUACAAAUGACUGAUUUUCGUGACAAGGACCCUUUCAUUGGAUGAGUAGUUCUGGUCUCAUCUACACAUUUUCUUAUCUUUCAUGGUAGCUGUUACGUGUAGAAUAGCUGCAUAUUUACAUUUUUAAAGCAUAUCCACUGCUUCAAAUAAUUUUUUGCUUGCUUGCUUUUUACUUGACUUUUAAGGAUCCAAGUAACCCACAAUAACCUGCUGAGUAUAUUUAGUCCCAGGAAAACAGAAUAUCUCUGAUAAGCGUCCCUUGUUCCAAACAGUAAAAAGGGACACACUGAAGUGAUUUACAAUGGUGUAUGGGGUGGGGGAGGGGCUUCAGGACAGCGGGUGUAGAAACAUAGGUGAGUCUCUAACCCAGCAGCUCAGGCAGCUGAACUAGGGUCAGUCCCCCAGGUGCCUGUGAAUAAAGUGAUUUCCAAGGCAUCCUUGGGUGGGCCCGUGAGGGAAGGUGGACAGACAAGAGGCCUCUGCAGCCCUGAGGUGGUCAGGGAGAGACAAGCCCCUCCCCCACCCCAUGACCGUGUGUGCCACUCUUCCUCUGUACAAAGACAAUUUGCUUUUCAUGUAGUAAUGAAGAACAAUGUUUAACAGACAAAGCAGCUUCUAGUUUAUUAUUGUGCUGUCUUUGACUAGAGCUAGAUGCUGGGAAAAAUGGUAAUUCACAGUGUGAAUGCUUCUCUUCCAGCAGUACGGGUUAUGGCUGAGCAUGUACGUUGUAUAUUGCAGAUGGUAUAAUAGUGAACACUGUGAGAACCAGGAAAAGAAAGAAUAACAGCCUGUUUUCUUUUCUUCUUGCUAGCCAAGAAACCAAGAAUUUCUUCACCAUGAUUUUUUUUUUUUAUUUGUGUGUGUGUAUCUGUGUGAGUUAUUCCUUAGCAGUAUGCACUGCUGAGUGCUGAUGAAUGAUUUUAGGUUGGGUUUUUAAAUUAAUGUAUAAAAUCUGCCACGAUGCUCGAUGCUCUUAGAACACCUGCGCUAUCCUGUUUUCCCCCCCAGUAAAUGGAUACAAGGCACAGGUGAUGACUCAUUAACUUAUUUCAUGCAAAUAAAAACAUAUUGCAUGAUUUCUUCCCCUUAACUAUAUAAUCACUGAGACAUGACCAUGCUGAUUAACGCAACACACUUUGGGAGGGGGGACUUCAGCAUCUUUUCCCAGUUCCCCUUCACUGAAGGGAUUUGCCAUCCAUGUAAAUCUGGUCUAAAUGGAAAAGUGAUAAGAAGACCUCUUUCCCAUGUAAAAAAAAAAAAAAAAAGUCUGCUUUCCUCUGUUAGCCUUUAUUCUGUCACAAGACACUCAUGAUGUAGAAUUGGAGAUUUAGAAUUGGAAAAAGGAAGAUCAAAUAUCACACGUUGAUGGAGGAAUUGGAAGCCCAGAGGAGGAACCAUCUCCAAUCAGUAAGCUCGUGUUUUGAUCUAGUGUUCAGAUAUUCUCAUCAAUGACUUCCAGAAAGUGACAUUGAUUUUCUUUGGAAACAAUGAUGGAAAAACAGCAAAUGUGUACCAGAAUGCUUUUAGAGUUCUAAAAUCAUACUGGAAAAUGUUCGAGCAUUCCAACCCAACUAUAAACAAUCCCAUGCUGUAUUCAUGGGGGAUGGAAUGUCUGCGUUGGAAAGUCUUUUGCGAUAUUAUUUCUAUGUUUUUAAUUUAUUGAAUUAAAGCCAGAUUUAUUCAAUUAAGAUAAUACACUUCAAGGUUAACUGCCAUUCGCUGUUCAUUUAGGCAAGCUAUUGUACAGUUAUGUAAAUUUCAUGAAC